UACAGAGGGGGCAAGCGUUGUUCGGAAUUACUGGGCGUAAAGGGCGCGUAGGCGGCCUUCUAAGUCGAACGUGAAAUCUCCGGGCUUAACCCGGAAAGGUCAGCCGAUACUGCGGGGCUAGAGUGCAGAAGGGGCAACUGGAAUUCUCGGUGUAGCGGUGAAAUGCGUAGAUAUCGAGAGGAACACCUGCGGCGAAGGCGGGUUGCUGGGCUGACACUGACGCUGAGGCGCGAAAGCUAGGGGAGCGAACGGG
rnacentral:rRNA from 1 species